ensembl:snoRNA
UCCUGUCGGUGAUGAGACCACGGAAACUGCGUCAGGCAUGGCGCCCGAUUCUUGUGAGGAGAUCUUCCAUGCUGCCUUCCUUCUGAGACGAUG